GUCCAGGGAUGGGAAUCGAACCCACAAUGUUCCGCUUACCAGGCAGGUGCCAUGUCCACUAGGCUACCCUGGA
rnacentral:tRNA from 1 species